UGGGGAAUAUUGCACAAUGGGCGCAAGCCUGAUGCAGCCAUGCCGCGUGUGUGAAGAAGGCCUUCGGGUUGUAAAGCACUUUCAGCGGGGAGGAAGGCGAUAAGGUUAAUAACCUUGUCGAUUGACGUUACCCGCAGAAGAAGCACCGGCUAACUCCGUGCCAGCAGCCGCGGUAAUACGGAGGGUGCAAGCGUUAAUCGGAAUUACUGGGCGUAAAGCGCACGCAGGCGGUCUGUCAAGUCGGAUGUGAAAUCCCCGGGCUCAACCUGGGAACUGCAUUCGAAACUGGCAGGCUAGAGUAUUGUAGAGGGGGGUAGGAUUCCAGGUGUAGCAGUGAAAUGCGGAGAGAUCAGGAGGAAUACCGGUGGCGAAGGCGGCCCCCUGGACAAAGACUGACGCUCAGGUGCGAAAGCGUGGGGAGCAAACAGG
rnacentral:rRNA from 1 species